rnacentral:rRNA from 1 species
AUUGAACGCUGGCGGCAGGCUUAACACAUGCAAGUCGAACGGUAACAGAGAAUAGCUUGCUAUUUUGCUGACGAGUGGCGGACGGGUGAGUAAUGCUUGGGAAUUUACCUUGUUGUGGGGGACAACAGUUGGAAACGACUGCUAAUACCGCAUAAUGUCUUUGGACCAAAGGUGGCCUCUAUUUAUAUGCUAUCGCGACAAGAUGAGCCCAAGUGGGAUUAGCUAGUUGGUAAGGUAAAGGCUUACCAAGGCGACGAUCCCUAGCUGGUCUUAGAGGAUGACCAGCCACACUGGAACUGAGACACGGUCCAGACUCCUACGGGAGGCAGCAGUGGGGAAUAUUGCACAAUGGGGGAAACCCUGAUGCAGCCAUGCCGCGUGUGUGAAGAAGGCUUUCGGGUUGUAAAGCACUUUCAGCGAGGAGGAAAGGUAUUACCUAAUACGUAAUAUCUGUGACGUUACUCGUCAGAAGAAGCACCGGCUAACUCCGUACCAG